AAUUACGGAGGAAAAGAAACUUACAAGAUUUCCCCUAGUAACCGCGACGAAGCGGGAAGAGCUCAAAUUUAUAAUCUGGCACCUUCGGUGUCCGAGUUGUAAUCUCUAGAAAUGUUUUCCGCGUUGGACCGCACACAAGUCUGUUGGAAUACAGCGGCAUAGUGGUGAGACCCCCGUAUAUGGUGCGGACGCCCAGCGCUUUGUGAUACAUUUUCGAAGAGUCGAGUUGUUUGGGAAUGCAGCUCAAAUUGGGUGGUAAAUUCCAUCUAAAGCUAAAUAUUGGCGAGAGACCGAUAGCGAACAAGUACCGUGAGGGAAAGAUGAAAAGCACUUUGGAAAGAGAGUUAACAGUACGUGAAAUUGUUGGAAGGGAAACGCUUGAAGUCAGACUUGCUUGCCGAGCAAUCGGUUUGCAGGCCAGCAUCAGUUUUCCGGGAUGGAUAAUGGUAGAGAGAAGGUAGCAGUUUCGGCUGUGUUAUAGCUCUCUGCUGGAUACAUCUUGGGGGACUGAGUGAACGCAGUGUGGCCUUUGGCGGGGGUUUCGACU
rnacentral:rRNA from 1 species